rnacentral:rRNA from 1 species
CCUACGGGAGGCUGCAGUAGGGAAUAUUGCUCAAUGGGGGAAACCCUGAAGCAGCAACGCCGCGUGGAGGAUGAAGGUUGUCGGAUGGUAAACUCCUUUUGUUAGAGAAGAGAAUGACGGUAGCUAACGAAUAAGCACCGGCUAACGCCGUGCCAGCAGCCGCGGUAAUACGGAGGGUGCAAGCGUUACUCGGAAUAACUGGGCGUACAGAGCGCGUAGGCGGGAUAGGAAGUCAGAUGUGAAAUCCUAUGGCUUAACCAUAGAACUGCAUUUGAAACUGUUAUUCUAGAGUAUGGGAGAGGUAGGUGGAAUUCUUGGUGUAGAGGUCCCAUCCGU